CAGAUAUCAGGAGGAACACCGAUGGCGAAGGCAGAUCUCUGGGCCGUAACUGACGCUGAGGAGCGAAAGGGUGGGGAGCAAACAGGCUUAGAUACCCUGGUAGUCCACCCCGUAAACGUUGGGAACUAGUUGUGGGGACCAUUCCACGGUCUCCGUGACGCAGCUAACGCAUUAAGUUCCCCGCCUGGGGAGUACGGCCGCAAGGCUAAAACUCAAAGGAAUUGACGGGGACCCGCACAAGCGGCGGAGCAUGCGGAUUAAUUCGAUGCAACGCGAAGAACCUUACCAAGGCUUGACAUAUACGAGAACGGGCUAGAAAUAGUCAACUCUUUGGACACUCGUAAACAGGUGGUGCAUGGUUGUCGUCAGCUCGUGUCGUGAGAUGUUGGGUUAAGUCCCGCAACGAGCGCAACCCUCGUUCUAUGUUGCCAGCACGUAAUGGUGGGAACUCAUGGGAUACUGCCGGGGUCAACUCGGAGGAAGGUGGGGAUGACGUCAAAUCAUCAUGCCCCUUAUGUCUUGGGCUUCACGCAUGCUACAAUGGCCGGUACAAAGGGCUGCAAUACCGUAAGGUGGAGCGAAUCCCAAAAAGCCGGUCCCAGUUCGGAUUGAGGUCUGCAACUCGACCUCAUGAAGUCGGAGUCGCUAGUAAUCGCAGAUCAGCAACGCUGCGGUGAAUACGUUCCCGGGUCUUGUACACACCGCCCGUCAAGUCAUGAAAGUCGGUAACACCUGAAGCCGGUGGCCCAACCCUUGUGGAGGGAGCCGUCGAAGGUGGGAUCGGUAAUUAGGACUAAGUC
rnacentral:rRNA from 1 species